rnacentral:rRNA from 1 species
CCUACGGGAGGCAGCAGUGGGGAAUAUUGGGCAAUGGGCGCAAGCCUGACCCAGCAACGCAGCGUGAAGGAAGAAGGCUUUCGGGUUGUAAACUUCUUUUGUCAGGGACGAAGCAAGUGACGGUACCUGACGAAUAAGCCACGGCUAACUACGUGCCAGCAGCCGCGGUAAUACGUAGGUGGCAAGCGUUAUCCGGAUUUACUGGGUGUAAAGGGCGUGUAGGCGGGUAAGCAAGUCAGAUGUGAAAACCACGGGCUCAACCUGUGGCCUGCAUUUGAAACUGUUUUUCUUGAGUGCUGGGGAGGCAAUCGGAAUUCCGGGUGUAGCGGUGAAAUGCGUAGAUAUACGGAGGAACACCAGUGGCGAAGGCGGAUUGCUGGACAGUAACUGACGCUGAGGCGCGAAAGCGUGGGGAGCAAACAGGAUUAGAUACCCCAGUAGUC